rnacentral:sRNA from 1 species
AUCGUGAAGAAGUCAUGCUACCCACGCUGGAAUGAGACGUUUGAAUUUGAGCUGCAGGAGGGGGCCAUGGAGGCGCUGUGCGUGGAGGCCUGGGACUGGGACCUUGUCAGCCAAAACGACUUCCUGGGCAAAGUGGUGAUCGAUGUCCAGAGACUGCGGGUGGCGCAGCAGGAGGAGGGCUGGUUCCGGCUGCAGCCCGACCAGUCCAAGAGCCGGCGGCAUGACGAGGGCAACCUGGGCUCCUUGCAGCUGGAGGUGUGGCUGCGGGAUGAGACGGUGCUGCCCUCCAGCUACUACCAGCCACUGGUGCACCUGCUGUGCCACGAGGUCAAGCUGGGCAUGCAGGAUAAGCUGAGACUCCUCAGGAUGUGGUUCUGCAGCAGAUGAGGUGCGAACAAAGCCUGCUCUUCCCUGGGCACCCAGGAUGGCACUGAGUUCUAAAAGGCAAAGGGUAUGUGGUGAGGGGCCAGGCUGAGGCCCUGGUGUGGUACCAUCAUGGGCAGCAGCACCAUUUGAGGCCGGGUAGGAGAGACGUGCAGGGCCUGGCCCCCCAAGAGACCAGCAGACAAACUGAGGCGGCAGAGAGAGAGAUUCCAGUGUCACCAGGAAGACUGCAGAUCAUAACAACAAUGGUUGCUGAUUUGGCAUCAAAGAGGUGGCACUGUCAAAGCCACAAUUGCUGAAAAUGGCACCAACAUGCUGCAGCUGGAGAGAGUGGGUGACCAACAUUUGUUUGAAGAACAGAUGAUACUCUUUGAAUGGCUCAGCCAACAGCCCAAAGUUUUAAGGGAAGACCUCUCUGCCAGCUUCUCUUGGACAGUGUCUCAUGUAAAACCUCCAAGGCACUUACAUAGCAUAUUUUUGUGUCCACUCUCUUGCUAGUCUGUUGUACCUGGAAUAAAAAAGCAGAGGAAGUGACACCCUCACUUGAAAUGGUCACUUCCCUUCAAUGUGCUGCAGAGAACAGGACUGAUGUGGGGAAUGCUGCUGCUGCUGCUGCUUGUCAAACAUCUACGGCUGAUGGCCACACAUUACUUCUUCAAAUGACCUUGGACCUCAGAGCCUUCACUAUAAGUAGGUACAUGGUACCUCUCCCAGGGAUGUUGUGGGACCCAUGAAGAGUCCGCUGUCUGUGAUGUGCAAGGUGCUCUGAGUCAGGUGCAGCUUGUACUGCUAUAGGAGCCUAAGAAUCUGCCUCACCUACACUCCCUCUGGGCAAUUAGGUAUCCUGAAAAUGCCCAACAGACAUUCAGGACUACAUUGGUAUCUGUUUAAGGAAAAUCCUCAGCUGCUCACACAGUAAUGAAAGAGACAAGCUAGAAAAUUACUACUUGAUAAGACUCUGCCACAGUCUCUCCAGAGGGGAAGGGAGAAGGGGUGGAUCACAGCACCAUGAAGCAUGCUUAUGAUUUUUCAACCAAACUCCCUUGAACAGCAGUUGUACUCCAAUGUGGUGAAGCUAUUUUAGCAUCUGUCAUUGCCCUGCUCAGCACACCCCACUCCCUUGCCAAAAGCUUAAAAGGUCUCUGGGAUCCUAAGCAUAUUUAACAAAGAUUUAAAAUGCUCAGGCACCAGGUAGCCUCUGGUGGCGAUGUCUGGACAGAGCUGCAGCUGGUGAGCACAGAAGGGGCUUCUUCACAUUGACUCAGAUAAACAACAUGCAAAACAGCAGCUAAGCCUCUGACUCAAAUUGAGGCAUCAAGGCCAAGUCAAGGUAGUAAGACACAGCAAUAUCACAACCCCUCAGCUAAGGGGUCUGAUGCAGAUGCAGGACUUUCGAGUAAGUCUUGACAAAAUGCACAACCUGGCCAAGCGUGGUGGCUCACACUUGGAAUCCCAGCACUUUGGGAGGCGGAGGUGGGUGGAUCACCUAAGGCCAGGAGUUCGAGACCAGCUUGGCCAACAUUGUGAAACCCUGUCUCUACUAAAAAUAACACAAAAAUUAGCCACGUGUGGUGGCGAGUGCCUGUAGUCCCAGCUACUCAGGAGGCUGAAGCAGGAGAAUCACUUGAACCCCAGCCUCUUCUCCACAAGGCAGCAGAGUGAUUGUGUCGGUGUGGCGAUCCCCACAACGGCGUGCAGACCCUACUCCUGGGGCCAUCCGUACCCCUCUGGCCUCCUUCCCAACUCCUCACAGGCUCACUCCCCUGGGGCAGUUUCCUGGGGACCUGUCCGCCCUCUUGCUGAGCUCCUGCAGUUCCCCUUUCUCAGGGCAAUCUCUCCACCACCCUGGCUCCUGCUGCCAACCACUGCUUGUGCUCCUUCCCAGUGCUGAGUAGCUCACAUGCUAAAUGCCCUGUCUCCUCCACAGGACUAUGAGCCUCAGGGCAGGCUCGGCCACCCAUGCAGAGCCCAGGUGAGAAGGAGUAUGAGGUCCAAGGGUCCAGGGAGUGAGACGACCUGCGGUGCACAAGACAUGCUAGGGCAGGGUGGUCGAGGCAGCUCCCUGGGCUUCUCCUUCCCUUUGGUGGCACUGCCCUCUAAAGCUCCACUGAUGGGAUGGUGUGUGCAUGAAGGGCAAAGGAGGCUUGCUAUUCUUUUAACUUAAUAAAGAAAAGUGAAGGUGUGACUCACCAGUCCUAAACCAGGGUGUGUCCACCUUGGCACUAUUGACACUUGGGGCUGAUCAUUAUCUGUCAUGGGAAGGGUGGCUCUCCUGUGCACUGCAGGGAAUCCCUGGAAUACCCUGGCCUUUGCCGACUAGAUACCAGUAGUACUCCCUCACCACAGUUUUGAUAACCCAAAAUAUCCUAAGAUGUUGCUCAAAUGUCCCUGGGGCAGUAGCAAAAUCACCCCAGCUGAGAACCCCUGUCCUAACUCUAAGGGACUGCAGAGAAGGGAGCCAGAGCCUGGAGACAUGACCAGACUCAGCUACAGUCACAAGGAGAAGCAUUCAAACUGUGGCCUCAGUAAGGCCAGCACCAGCUCACCCCACUGACCCUUGAUCACAACAGGUGCUAAUUCUCAAAGUCCAGUAAUUAAAGUCCUGGGAAACUGUCACCACAGGGUGGAGCAGUGGGCCCUCAGAGAAACCCCACGUACAGCUCUUUUUACCUAUACCUGACUUGAAGGGCCCCUUGUCACAUGCUGUCCUUCAUCCAAACAUCAGGGGAGUUGGGAGAGGGACCUCACCUUUGGGGGCUUGAACGGGUAAUCUGUAGGAAAGUGGAUGGUCAGGAAGAAAACACCUCCUUGGUAAGGACUGUCAUUCUGGAAGGAUGAGACACAGAAAGAGAUCAGUGCAUGUGCUAAGCCCAAAGUGCAAGAAGCAAAACUGGAGUGGUGCACUCAGCAGCUACUACCUACCGGGCCCAUGAUGGUGGCCUGCCAGUGGAACACUACAAAACAAAAGAGAGACGGGCAUGUAAGAGACCCCCCAAGAAACAUGUCUAUUCUACUGAAAACGCACUGCUAAAUUACAGCGCACUGUCUACACGAGAUGCACUCACUUCUGACACCAACUGCAAGACUGGGGUUCCCCAAACCACCCAAGAUGCAAUAACUGCCUAGGACUCCCAGAGCUCACUGAAAGUGGUUGUGCUUAAGAUUGCUGGUUAUCACAGGGAAACAGCAUAGGUUAACAUCAGGAGGGUCCAAACGCAGAGUUUCCAUUCUUCUCUCUCCGUGGAGUCAGGAUGUGUUACUCUCCUGGCAUUGCUGUAUGGCAACACACACAGAACACCCAAUCAGGAAUGCUCACCGGAGCCUCCGUAUUCAGAAUUCUCAUUGGAGCUCCACCCUGAGAGCAUGACUGACUUAUUUGAAUGCCCAUAGGACUGAUCUCAGGCUCCAGUCUCCAGCUCCUCCAGGCAUGAUCCAAGCCCCCACCUUAUUUUAUUUUUUAGUUUUUUGAGAUGGUCUCACUCUGCCACCCAGGCUGGUGGGCAGUGGCAUGAUUAUAGCUCACUGCAGUCUCAAACUCCUGGGCUCAAGCUAUCCUUCUGCCUCAACCUCCUGAGGAGCUGGGACAACAGGUGUGUGCCACCACAUCUGGCUAAUUUUUUUACUUUUAUUUUUUCAUUUUUGUAGAGAUGGGGUCUUGCUAUGUUGCCCGGGCUAGGCUCUCACCUGAAAUCACAUGGCUGGUCUACUUGGUAUGGCCAUUCCUCACCCUAAAUCACAUUGUUGGUGUGCAUUAAAGCUUCCAGCCAAACAAAGACAUUCCCAUCAGGUAUGGUAUCUUACAGAUCGCCCCCUACGUGUUAAGGAUGAAGGCCAGAUCUUUUGGGGACAAGAUUAAAUUCUUUUUGUUGUUAUUAUUUUGUAGAGAUGGGGUUUUACCAUGUUGCCCAGGCUGGGCUCAAGAAAUCUGCUAGCCUCAGCCUCCCAAAGUGCUGGGAUUACAGGCGUGAGACACUGUGCUUAGCCAAGAUUAAAUUCUGUACUACACAAAUGCCAGUAACUACAAUUCAGUCAGUUCUUUGCACAGAAUUAAGCCUUGGCUAGGCUUCAGCCAUUUUCCUUAUUGCUCUUUAUAAACCCUUCUAUUCCUUGGUUCUUCUCCUGAUUCAUUGUGAAGCCCUCUUCAAAGAGUGUCUCUCAGGAGCCAACUGCCCGUGGCCCUGGAGCCUCAAGGGUGCUGCCUUCAUCUGAGUCCUCUCCUGCCCAACCCCUGGGCAGUGCCCUGUGCUCUAGGCACUCAGUAACAAGGUCACGAUGAGCCCCUCUCAUGCUUCCCUUCCAGGUCACCACCAUUUGGCGAGAGUUUAGAGCCCCCUCUUGCUGCACAUCACACCCUCUCCAGCAUCUCAGGUGACUUUCACUGCUCUACCCAUUCCCAGAAAAGCUCCUGUGUAUCAGCAAGGCUAGCCCAGUAUGGCCCAAACACUCACAUUCAAGGCUCCCAAGUCAUACAAAUGGUCCCAGGGAUAUUGACUCUAGGGCCUUGGCAGAAAAUGCCUACUCGCCCACAGGAGUGGGUUGCUGGGAUCAUCUGAAGGGCCUGUUAUUACCAAGAGAAUUCUGUCUCAUAUGGAUUCAUAGUGGAUAUGGAAUUAGCCCAGAGUUUCAGACCUGGUCCUGUCCUGGGUUUCCUGUCACCUGUUUAAGUACCCCACAGGCUCUACACAGCAGGAGACCUAGGAAAGCACCAAGGUUUGGGGUGGGAGCACAAGUGCAGGGACUAAAGCAGAAGUUUCCCAAGCCCCUAGAGGUGUUCAAAAGUAGUCAAGGUGGCCCAUGAGCCCUUUUCAAUAUUUCAAAGAAAUGGUGCUGAAAAGAACACCUUUACCUGUAAUAAGCCUGCCUGAGUUAAUAAAAAUAUCACUUUU